UGUAUCGACGUACACCGUCCCACUUCGCACUCGCCAUUCCGGACAGCGUUUCCUCAGGUACGUACCCAAUUUCGCCUCUUGGUAUUUACCGGGAACCACCGUUCGACGCCAACUAUCGCUUUGUGAUGAUCCGUUCUGCACAGCAGCACGUGGAAAUGAUGUAUAUUGCAUUGUCAAAACCGAAAAGAAUCCGUGAAGGAAAUAGCGCCAGAGAUUACUAAGAGUUCUCAUCUAGAUGAAGGAUGUUGCUCUGGUUAUUCGUUAGGACUGGAGAGUUCAAUCUCUUCUUUAGCUGCCGGCAGGGUUUUAGGUAUCAACAGAAGUGUAGCCUGGUGAAUGUGAAAUUGAAGUGGGUGAAAGAUUGGGAGCUUGACACUGUUGUUUCAGGGGAGAGGGACCUCAAAGCAGUGAACUUCCUUAUUUCUCUUAUUGCCUCUGCUCCGCAGUGUUGCCUCCCUGUGUACCACCUCUCUCGCUCUCGUGGACAACUUGGCCUUCCCCAUGAUCUCAAGCUCUCCACGUUUAUCAGGAGAUACCCAAAUAUUUUUCACGAGUUUUAUACUCCUGACAGUGGAGGGACUCCUGUUCCCUGGUUUCACUUGACACCUGAAGCCCAUGGACUCCAUCAGGAGGAACUCAGUGUUUUACAACAGAACCAUACGGAUGUCCAGAACAGGCUUUGCAAAUUGCUUAUGCUCACUAGUGAUAGGAUCCUCCCUGUACAAACUAUUGACCAGUUGAAGUGGGAUCUGGGGUUGCCCUAUAAUUAUCAGGAAUCCCUGAUUUUAAAGAGUCCAGAAUUGUUCUCUUUAGUCAGGCUCCAUGAUGAUCGAACUGGCGUGAAACUUCUCUUUUGGGAUGAUCACCUAGCUGUAUCUGAAUUGCAGAAGAAUGCUGCUUUACUGCAGAAGGAAGAAGAUUUAAAAGACGGCAUCCUAUCUUUUCCGAUUCGAUUCACAAGAGGCUUUGGGUUAAAGAAAAAAUGCACGAGGUGGCUAGAAGAAUGGCAGAGCCUUCCUUAUACUUCUCCUUACUCGAAUGCGUCCCACUUGGAUCCUCGUACUGACAUAUCAGAGAAAAGGAUUGUUGGAGUCUUUCAUGAGCUUCUACACCUCACUGUCAAGAAGAAAACAGAGCGGAAGAACGUAAGUAAUCUUCGCAAGCCAUUGAGUUUGCCCCAAAAGUUCACCAAGGUUUUUGAGCGCCAUCCAGGAAUCUUUUACAUUUCAAAAAAGUCAGAUACUCAGACUGUGAUCCUUAGAGAGGCUUUUGAGGGAAAGCGUCUCUUGUACGAACACCCCAUUGUACAAUUCCGGGAAAAAUUGGCAAGCAUGAUGAGGAAAGGGCUUCUAGACAGAAGCAGGGGCAAUUACAAAAGUUCUGGCACUGGUGAUCUGGCAGAGGAUGCCGGCGUAGCAAUCAGUGAUGAUCAACAAACUUCUGACCAAGAGACAGAUGCGUUUAUGUUUUCAGAUUAUGAUUCAGAUGGGACUUUGGACGAUCCUUGUCAAAAAACAAAAGGAAAAUCCUCCCGGUGCUAAAGUGGCGUUUGAGAUCAAGGGAAGCAGCUAUAUUGGUGUAAGACAGAUGAGUUCUCUAUGAAGGGAAACUGCACUGUGCAGAUCUCACUUCACGGUGACUGCUGAUCUAAGGACAUCAAUUUGCUGUGAGAAAGGCACGAAUACUGGCAACUUCCGGGAGCCUGAGGAAUCGGGGAGGCGGCCUUCUUGCAAGGUCAUGGAAGAGCCAUCUUUUUGAUUUGGCGGUUAUGUUAAUUUGCCAAAGUUAGCAUCUGCAUUGGCAUUCCAGUAAUCU